AGGGCCAUAGCUCAGCUGGGAGAGCGCCUGCUUUGCACGCAGGAGGUCAGCGGUUCGAUCCCGCUUGGCUCCA
rnacentral:tRNA from 1 species